UUUUUUUUUUUUUUUUUUUUUUUUUUUUUUUUUUUUG
rnacentral:ribozyme from 13 species